ensembl:misc_RNA 7SK 7SK RNA
GGAUGUGGGGGCAGUCUGGCUAUGGCAUAUGUCACCCCUUUGAUCACCAGGGCUGAUUCGGCUGAUCUGGCUGGCUAGGCAGGUGUCCCCUUCCUCCUUCACCGCUCCAUGUGCAUCCCUCCUGAAGCUGCGUGCUGGGUCAAACAGGACAGCUUUUGGUCGAGGGUAAACGAGUAGCUGUGCUCCCCUGCUAGAAACUCCAAACAAGCGCUCAAGGGCAAUUAAGUUUUUAACAUUUCAAGUUAUUCAAGGAAGAAAAGUGUAAGCCUUAAAAUAUAUUUGCAUUAGCAAUUAUGAAACUUGGGCUUUUGGU